rnacentral:tRNA from 1 species
AUAAGGCUCAGUGGUAGAGCACUUGCCUAGCAUGCAUGAGGCUCUGGGUUCCAUUUCUAGGACUUAAA